rnacentral:lncRNA from 1 species
UUCAUAUUAAAAUACAUUGUUUUGGUGGAAAGACCUUCAAUUGUUCUCUGAACAAUUGGUUUUUAAUUAUUUUUUUUUUUUUUCUUCCGCCUAAUUUUUUUCUUGCGAUAAACAUUUGUUUCGCAAUAUGUCGCUUAGAUAUUUGGUAUAUGAUAUCGAACAGUUUAUGCGCUUUUGAAAUUUACCCUGCGUAAACAAAUACUUUUCUUUGUAGGAGUUAUCUCCCCAAACACUGUUUUCCUUGUUAGCGCAUCUC